rnacentral:tRNA from 8 species
UGUACCAGUAGCUCAGUUGGAUAGAGCAACGGUCUUCUAAACCGUUUGUCCCGGGUUCGAAUCCCGGCUGGUACAU